UGCAUCAAUGAUAAGAGGGAGUCAUGAACCACAGAUUAUGAUUAAUCUAAUGCUGUGCACU
rnacentral:snoRNA from 1 species